CCGAGUGUAAGAGAAUAUACAUGCAGUCGAGCGGAGCGGAUGGAGUGCUUGCACUCCUGAUGCUUAGCGGCGGACGGGUGAGUAAUACGUAGGUAACCUGCCCUUAAGACCGGGAUAACUCACGGAAACGUGGGCUAAUACCGGAUAGGCGAUUUCCUCGCAUGAGGGAAUCGGGAAAGGCGGAGCAAUCUGCCACUUAUGGAUGGACCUACGGCGCAUUAGCUAGUUGGUGGGGUAACGGCUCACCAAGGCGACGAUGCGUAGCCGACCUGAGAGGGUGAUCGGCCACACUGGGACUGAGACACGGCCCAGACUGCUACGGGAGGCUUCCGUAGACUCUUCUCAAUGACGCCUUCAGGAGCACCUCUGAGGUAAGUUUUCGUUUCAAACUCUUUCCAGACAACUUGGAGGAUGUUCAUUGACGUACUGGAAGAAAUCCCGGCUAAUGCUGCAGCAGGUGUAACGUAGGGGCAGGCUUGCCGGAAUUUUGCGUAAAGCGCGUGCAGCGGUCAUGUAGUCUGUGUUUAACCCGGGGCUCACCUCGGGUUGCAUCGGAACUGGUGACUGAGUGCGGAGAGGAAAGUGGAAUUCACGUGUAGCGGUGAAUGCGUAGAGAUGUGGAGGACUCCAGUGGCGAAGGCGACUUCUGGGCUGUACUGUUGCUGAGGCGCGAAAGCGUGGGGAGCAACAGGAUUAGAUACCCUGGUAGUCCACGCCGUAAACGAUGAGUGCUAGGUGUUAGGGGUUUCGAUCCCCUUGGUGCCGAAGUUAACACAUUAAGCAUUCCGCCUGGGGAGUACGGUCGCAAGACUGAACCUCAAGGAAUUGACGGGGACCCGCACAAGCGUGGAUAUGUGGUUUAUUUCGAAGCAACGCGAAGAACCUUACCAGUCUUGACAUCCCUCUGACCGUCUAGAGAUGGGCUUCCCUUCGGGGCAGAGUGACAGUGGUGCAUGGUUGCUCAGCUCUGUCGGCGAUGUUGGUUAAGUCCCGAACGAGCUCAACCUUAACUUUAGUUCCACUUGAGUGGACUCUAGGUACUGCCGGUGAAAACCGGAGAAGGUGGGAUGCCGUUAAUCUCAUUCUUUUAUACCUGGUCCCCCCGUUCUACUGGACUGUAACCGGGAUGGUGCGCCUCGAGGUGCAGCGAAUCCUAAAAACGCAGUCUCAUUUCGGAUCGCAGCCUGCAACUCCUCCGCAUGAAGUGGGAAUUACUCGUUAUCGCUGAUCGGCAUCCCGCUUAAAAUACGUUCCCGGGUCUUGUACACACCGCCCGUCACACCACGAGAGUCGCAACACGCGAAGUCGCGGGUUAGCUGCAAGGAGCCAGCCGCCGAAGGUGGGGAAG
rnacentral:rRNA from 1 species